rnacentral:rRNA from 1 species
UCAAGCUAUAAAGAGCACAGGGCGGAUGCCUUGGCACUGGGAGCCGAUGAAGGACGCGACAAGCUGCGAAAAGCCGCGGGGAGGCGCACAUAGCCUACGAUCCGCGGAUGUCCGAACGGGGAAACCCGCCCGGGGUGAAUGCCCGGGCACGCUUAAGCCGAAUAAAAUAGGUUUAGGCGGGGGAGACGCGGGGAACUGAAACAUCUAAGUACCCGCAGGAAAAGAAAACAAAAGUGAUUCCGCAAGUAGUGGCGAGCGAACGCGGAGAAGCCCAAACCGGGCGCCCUACGGGGAGUCCGGGGUAGAGGACCGGCACAAAGACGAUUUGGAACGAGCGGAAAGCGGGAUGGAAAGCCCGUGCCGCAGAGGGUAAGAGCCCCGUAAGCGAAGUUCCGAAGAGUCCGGCCGUGAUCCGGAGUACCACGAGGCACGGGAAAUCUCGUGGGAAGCAGGGUGGACCACCAUCCAAGGCUGAAUACUAACCGGUGACCGAUAGUGAAGCAGUACCGUGAGGGAAAGGUGAAAAGAACCCCGUGAGGGGAGUGAAAAAGAACCUGAAACCCUGUGUUUACAAGCAGUCGAAGGGCGUUAAAGCCCGACGGCGUACUUUUUGUAGAACGGUCCGGCGAGUUGCGAUACACGGCGAGGUUAAGCGCUAUACAAGGCGCGGAGCCGCAGCGAAAGCGAGUCUGAAGAGGGCGUUACAGUCGUGUGUUGCAGACCCGAAACCGAGUGACCUACCCGUGGACAGGUUGAAGCGGAAGUAAAAUUCCGUGGAGGACCGAACCCACCGAUGUUGAAAAAUCGGGGGAUGAGCUGCGGGUAGCGGAGAAAUUCCAAUCGAACUCGGAUAUAGCUGGUUCUCCCCGAAAUAGCUUUAGGGCUAGCCUCGGAUCGAGUCCUGCGGAGGUAAAGCACUGAAUGGGCUAGGGGUCUUACCGGAUUACCGAACCCUAUCAAACUCAGAAUGCCGCAAGGAUGAUGACCGGGAGUCAGACCGCGGGAGAGAAGUUCCGCGGUCGAGAGGGAAACAGCCCAGACCGCCGGCUAAGGUCCCAAAAUCACGGUUAAGUGGAAAAGGAUGUGGGCACGCUAAGACAGCUAGGACGUUGGCUUAGAAGCAGCCAUUCAUUCAAAGAGUGCGUAACAGCUCACUAGUCGAGUGGGCCUGCGCCGAAGAUUAACGGGGCUAAACCGUGUACCGAAGCCGCGGAAUCCGUACAUGAGUACGGAUUGGUAGGGGAGCGUACCGUGAGGGAGAAGCAUGACCGGAAGGACAUGCGGACGAAACGGUAGUGAGAAUGCCGGAAUGAGUAGCGAGAGCGCGGUGAGAAUCCGCGCCGUCGAAAACCCGAGGUUUCCCGGGGAAGGUUCGUCCUCCCGGGGUAAGUCGGGGCCUAAGCCGAGGCCGCAAGGCGUAGGCGAUGGACAACAGGUUGAAAUUCCUGUACUGCCGAUGGGCGUAUGAGGGAAGCGGGGACGCAGAUGGAAAAUCCGACCGGGCCGCAGGAAGGUCCGGCCAAGGAUGUAAGGCCGCCGGGAGGCAAAUCCCCCGGCACACGGCCGAAAUCCAAUGGGUAGGGAAAAUACAAGUACCGAAGCGGAGUAUUCCACGCUGACGAGAAAAGCCGCUACCGAGCACAUCGGCACCCGUACCGCAAACCGACACAGGUGGGUGGGGAGAGAAUCCCGAGACGAGCGGGAGAAGCAUUGUCAAGGAACUCGGCAAAUUGACCCCGUAAGUUCGCGAUAAGGGGUGCCGGCUUUUGGCCGGCCGCAGUGAAAAGGCCCAAGCAACUGUUUAGCAAAAACACAGGUCUCUGCGAAAUCGAAAGAUGAAGUAUAGGGGCUGACGCCUGCCCGGUGCCGGAAGGUCACAGGGAUCCGUAAGCGUAAGCGAAGCGGUGAACUCAAGCCCCGGUAAACGGCGGCCGUAACUAUAACGGUCCUAAGGUAGCGAAAUUCCACGAAAGGCGUAAUGAUUUGGGCACUGUCUCGACAAUGCACCCGGUGAAAUUGUAGUACUCGUGAAGAUGCGAGUUACCCGCGACAAGACGGAAAGACCCCAUGGAGCUUUACUGCAGCCUGGUAUUGGGUCUUGGUAUUUUCUGUACAGGAUAGGUGGGAGGCUGUGAAGCGCGUACGCCAGUAUGCGUGGAGCCGUCCUUUGGAUACCACCCUGAAAAUGCCGGGACUCUAACCGCGGGCCGUUAACCGGUCCCGGGACAAUGACAGGCGGGCAGUUUGACUGGGGCGGUCGCCUCCAAAAGAGUAACGGAGGCGCUCAAAGGUUGGCUCAGCACGGACGGAAAUCGUGCAAAGAGUGUAAACGCAAAAGCCAGCCUAACUGUGAGACCAACAAGUCGAACAGUAACGAAAGUUGGAGUUAGUGAUCAGGCGGUAUGUGAGUGGAAAUGCCGUCGCUUAACGGAUAAAAGCUACCCUGGGGAUAACAGGCU